GAGAUCAAAGAAGUUCGCGCGGGCGACAUCGCGGCUGCUAUCGGCCUGAAAGACGUGACUACCGGUGACACCCUGUGUGAUCCGGAAAACCCGAUCAUUCUGGAACGUAUGGAAUUCCCUGAGCCGGUAAUCUCCAUCGCGGUAGAACCGAAAACCAAAGCUGACCAGGAAAAAAUGGGUCUGGCUCUGGGCCGUCUGGCGAAAGAAGACCCGUCGUUCCGCGUAUGGACUGAUGAAGAAUCUAACCAGACCAUCAUCGCUGGUAUGGGUGAACUUCACCUAGAUAUCAUCGUUGACCGUAUGAAGCGUGAAUUCAACGUUGAAGCGAACGUGGGUAAACCUCAGGUUGCUUACCGCGAAGCGAUUCGCGCGAAAGUUACCGACAUCGAAGGUAAACACGCGAAACAGUCUGGUGGUCGCGGUCAGUAUGGUCAUGUUGUUAUCGACAUGUACCCGCUGGAGCCGGGCUCUAACCCGAAAGGUUACGAGUUCAUCAACGACAUCAAAGGUGGUGUAAUUCCUGGCGAGUACAUCCCGGCCGUUGAUAAAGGCAUCCAGGAGCAGCUGAAAUCUGGCCCGCUGGCGGGUUAUCCGGUAGUUGAUCUCGGUGUGCGUCUGCACUUCGGUUCUUACCAUGACGUUGACUCCUCUGAGCUGGCGUUUAAACUGGCUGCGUCUAUCGCCUUUAAAGAAGGCUUUAAGAAAGCAAAACCAGUUCUGCUUGAGCCGAUCAUGAAGGUUGAAGUAGAAACACCUGAAGAGAAUACCGGUGACGUUAUCGGCGACCUUAGCCGCCGUCGUGGUAUGCUCAAAGGUCAGGAAUCUGAAGUUACAGGCGUUAAGAUCCACGCUGAAGUACCGCUGUCUGAAAUGUUCGGAUAUGCAACUCAGCUGCGUUCUCUGACCAAAGGUCGCGCAUCGUACACUAUGGAAUUCCUGAAGUAUGAUGAUGCGCCGAACAACGUUGCUCAGGCCGUAAUCGAAGCCCGUGGUAAAUAAGCCGCAGGGUUAAAAACCAAAAUCCCGUGCUCUCUCCUGAAGGGGAGAGCGCUAUAGUAAGGAAUAUAGCCGUGUCUAAAGAAAAAUUUGAACGUACAAAACCGCACGUUAACGUCGGCACCAUCGGCCACGUUGACCACGGUAAAACUACCCUGACCGCUGCAAUCACCACCGUACUGGCUAAAACCUACGGCGGUGCUGCUCGUGCAUUCGACCAGAUCGAUAACGCUCCGGAAGAAAAAGCGCGUGGUAUCACCAUCAACACUUCUCACGUUGAAUACNCGGGUGAAGGAACUAGGCAAAAUGGUGCCGUAACUUCGGGAGAAGGCACGCUGACACGUAGGUGAAGUGAUUUACUCACGGAGCUGAAGUCAGCCGAAGAUACCAGCUGGCUGCAACUGUUUAUUAAAAACACAGCACUGUGCAAACACGAAAGUGGACGUAUACGGUGUGACGCCUGCCCGGUGCCGGAAGGUUAAUUGAUGGGGUCAGCGCAAGCGAAGCUCCUGAUCGAAGCCCCGGUAAACGGCGGCCGUAACUAUAACGGUCCUAAGGUAGCGAAAUUCCUUGUCGGGUAAGUUCCGACCUGCACGAAUGGCGUAAUGAUGGCCAGGCUGUCUCCACCCGAGACUCAGUGAAAUUGAACUCGCUGUGAAGAUGCAGUGUACCCGCGGCAAGACGGAAAGACCCCGUGAACCUUUACUAUAGCUUGACACUGAACAUUGAGCCUUGAUGUGUAGGAUAGGUGGGAGGCUUUGAAGUGUGGACGCCAGUCUGCAUGGAGCCGACCUUGAAAUACCACCCUUUAAUGUUUGAUGUUCUAACGUGGACCCGUGAUCCGGGUUGCGGACAGUGUCUGGUGGGUAGUUUGACUGGGGCGGUCUCCUCCUAAAGAGUAACGGAGGAGCACGAAGGUUGGCUAAUCCUGGUCGGACAUCAGGAGGUUAGUGCAAUGGCAUAAGCCAGCUUGACUGCGAGCGUGACGGCGCGAGCAGGUGCGAAAGCAGGUCAUAGUGAUCCGGUGGUUCUGAAUGGAAGGGCCAUCGCUCAACGGAUAAAAGGUACUCCGGGGAUAACAGGCUGAUACCGCCCAAGAGUUCAUAUCGACGGCGGUGUUUGGCACCUCGAUGUCGGCUCAUCACAUCCUGGGGCUGAAGUAGGUCCCAAGGGUAUGGCUGUUCGCCAUUUAAAGUGGUACGCGAGCUGGGUUUAGAACGUCGUGAGACAGUUCGGUCCCUAUCUGCCGUGGGCGCUGGAGAACUGAGGGGGGCUGCUCCUAGUACGAGAGGACCGGAGUGGACGCAUCACUGGUGUUCGGGUUGUCAUGCCAAUGGCACUGCCCGGUAGCUAAAUGCGGAAGAGAUAAGUGCUGAAAGCAUCUAAGCACGAAACUUGCCCCGAGAUGAGUUCUCCCUGAGACUUUAGGUCUCCUGAAGGAACGUUGAAGACGACGACGUUGAUAGGCCGGGUGUGUAAGCGCAGCGAUGCGUUGAGCUAACCGGUACUAAUGAACCGUGAGGCUUAACCUU
rnacentral:rRNA from 1 species